rnacentral:rRNA from 1 species
CACGUGUAGCAGUGAAAUGCGUAGAGAUGUGGAGGAAUACCGAUGGCGAAGGCAGCNUCCUGGGAUAACACUGACGUUCAUGCCCGAAAGCGUGGGUAGCAAACAGGAUUAGAUACCCUGGUAGUCCACGCCCUAAACGAUGUCGAUUAGCUGUUGGGCAGCAUGACUGCUUAGUAGCGAAGCUAACGCGUGAAAUCGACCGCCUGGGGAGUACGGUCGCAAGAUUAAAACUCAAAGGAAUUGACGGGGACCCGCACAAGCGGUGGAUGAUGUGGAUUAAUUCGAUGCAACGCGAAGAACCUUACCUGGUCUUGACAUGUACGGAACCCUCCAGAGACGGAGGGGUGCCUUCGGGAGCCGUAACACAGGUGCUGCAUGGCUGUCGUCAGCUCGUGUCGUGAGAUGUUGGGUUAAGUCCCGCAACGAGCGCAACCCUUGUCAUUAGUUGCCAUCAUUAAGUUGGGCACUCUAAUGAGACUGCCGGUGACAAGCCGGAGGAAGGUGGGGAUGACGUCAUGUCCUCAUGGCCCUUAUGACCAGGGCUUCACACGUCAUACAAUGGUCGGUACAGAGGGUAGCCAAGCCGCGAGGUGGAGCCAAUCUCACAAAACCGAUCGUAGUCCGGAUUGCACUCUGCAACUCGAGUGCAUGAAGUCGGAAUCGCUAGUAAUCGCAGGUCAGCAUACUGCGGUGAAUACGUUCCCGGGUCUUGUACA